rnacentral:rRNA from 1 species
UUUAAAGAGAGUUUGAUCCUGGCUCAGGACGAACGCUGGCGGCGUGCCUAAUACAUGCAAGUCGAACGAACGGAGGAAGAGCUUGCUCUUCCAAUGUUAGUGGCGGACGGGUGAGUAACACGUGGGCAACCUGCCUGUAAGUUGGGGAUAACUCCGGGAAACCGGGGCUAAUACCGAA